UAAAUGACUCUCGGCAACGGAUAUCUCGGCUCUCGCAUCGAUGAAGAACGUAGCGAAAUGCGAUACUUGGUGUGAAUUGCAGAAUCCCGUGAACCAUCGAGUCUUUGAACGCAAGUUGCGCCCCAAGCCUUUAGGUCGAGGGCACGCCUGCCUGGGUGUCACACA
rnacentral:rRNA from 1 species